rnacentral:rRNA from 1 species
UCGCUACUACCGAUUGAGUGUUUUAGUGAGGACCUCGGAUUGCUUGCUGGGCGGUUCGCGCUGCCUAGCUGGCGAAAAGACGUCCAAACUGUAGCACUUAGAGGAAGUAA